GACUUAUAUAAGAAUUUCUUUGUAUUGUACGGCUGAGACAAAAUGUAUUAGAAGAUAAUAUAAAAUUUUACCAUCAUUUAUUUAUAUGACAGAAGAUUUAUAACCUUAAAUGUGCACAAUUACGUAUGUUGUAAUAUACUGUGCUGUGUAAAAUCAUAAAAAUGAAUAUCAAAAAUUAUUUUUCUGGUAUUUGAGAUGGAACACCAUAUAAAUUUCGUAGACGUAAAGGACGGAAAAACGCCCUAGGAGAGAAAAAUGUGUGUCGCUUAUUAGAUAUGCCUUACGGGAGUGAAGAUGAAUUAUCACAAUCCAUGAACGAUUCAGAUGAGGAAAUGAUUGAAAUUUCAGAUAAAGUUGUAUUCGAAAAACAUGAUGAAUCCAAAAUCGAAUAGAAGAUUACACUUCAAAGGUUCCGGCUGACUUGUCUAGCACUUCAAAAGCUUCAAAUUGUUUUUCUAGCACUUCGAAAGUUACAGCUGACGUUCGUAGCACGUCAAAAAUUCCAUUUGAUUUCACUAGCAUUUCUAAGUACUCAGAUGAGGUUUCCGACGAUGCUGUAUAAAAAAAUUCUGCAAAACAAAAAUCCAAUAUUCCUCUAAAAUCACUUAUUACUUUAAAAUCAAUUCCUUGGAGAAAAUUCGUUGGAGAAAAGGAUCUUUGAUAAUUUUAGACGAUUAUAAAAAAUUUAAAGGAAAAUCAAAUAUUCCGAAUGGUUUGUUAUAGUUACAUAUAAUAAACAUAUAAUUUUUUCAAAUACUUUUGAUGAUGAUGAUUUAAUGAAUCUAAUACUACAACAGUCUAUAUUAUAUUUAGUACAAAAAGACCUUAAUAAACCGUCAAAACUUUCCCUAAAUUCCCUGUAAAAAUACAUAGGAAUUCUUAUUUUUUUAUCUGUGGCAUGUGUUUCGUGCAUUAGAGAUCUCUGGAACCCGAUCUUGGGUAACGAUAUGGUGAAAUAACUAUGGGAAUCAACAAGUUUGAGGCCAUUCGUUCCAUUCUUCAUUUCAACGAUAACACUAACAAUUCACAAGCUAACGAUUCUACUACAAAUAAACUGCUCAAAUUGCGUCCUAUCAUAGACCAUGUGAAUAAUAAAUUUUCUAGUGUACCCAUGAUUGAGAGUCUUUCUGUUGAUGAACAAAUUUGUGCAACUAAAAUAAAAUAUUCGUUACGACAAUACAAUCCUCGAAAACCCAAAAAAUAAGGCUACAAAUAAUUGGAAUUGUACUCGGACAAGAAAACGUAAUUAUUGAUGGAGAGACAGAUGUAGGAGCAAAUUCUAAUAUUGUUAAUCGUUUGAUUAGAGGUAUCCCAGAAAAUUGUCGAUAUACCGUAUAUUUUGACAAUUAUUAUACCUCCCUACCCCUCAUGGCUGAGCUGAAGAAGGGGGGUAUUUUUGCAUUGCCGAUGACUAAAGUAUGACAACAAGUGCAAGGGGGACUGUAAAAGAAUUUGUAACAGAAUAUGACUGUUAUCCGUCUCUUGUUCAUUGGAACGACCACAG